GGAAAAUGGGGACACACAUUGAUAGACACCAUCUUCUUCCUUUUCUUCCUUCUUUCCUUCCUUUCCUUCCUUUCCUCCU
rnacentral:ribozyme from 13 species